rnacentral:rRNA from 1 species
UACGUAGGGGGCAAGCGUUGUCCGGAUUUAUUGGGCGUAAAGAGCGUGUAGGCGGCCAGGUAGGUCCGUUGUGAAAACUCGAGGCUCAACCUCGAGACGCCGAUGGAAACCCCCUGGCUAGAGUCCGGAAGAGGAGAGUGGAAUUCCUGGUGUAGCGGUGAAAUGCGCAGAUAUCAGGAAGAACACCCGUGGCUAAGGCGGCUUUCUGGUCUGCUCUUGACGCUGAGGCGCGAAAGCUAGGGUAGCAAACGGG